CGCGUGCACUGGCUCGGCUGGGUCUUUCCUUCUGGAGAACCGCAUGCCCUUCACUGGGCGUGCCGGGGAACCAGGACUUUUACUCUGAACAAAUUAGAUCGCUUAAAGAAGGCCUAUGCUCGAAUACAUUAGCAUGGAAUAAUAGAAUAGGACGUGUGGUUCUAUUUUGUUGGUUUCUAGGACCGCCGUAAUGAUUAAUAGGGACAGUCGGGGGCAUCAGUAUUCAAUUGUCAGAGGUGAAAUUCUUGGAUUUAUUGAAGACUAGCUACUGCGAAAGCAUUUGCCAAGGAUGUUUUCAUUAAUCAGGAACGAAAGUUAGGGGAUCGAAGACGAUCAGAUACCGUCGUAGUCUUAACCAUAAACUAUGCCGAUUAGGGAUCGGACGGCGUUAUUUUUUGACCCGUUCGGCACCUUACGAUAAAUCAAAAUGUUUGGGCUCCUGGGGGGAGUAUGGUCGCAAGGCUGAAACUUAAAGAAAUUGACGGAAGGGCACCACCAGGGGUGGAGCCUGCGGCUUAAUUUGACUCAACACGGGGAAACUCACCAGGUCCAGACACGAUGAGGAUUGACAGAUUGAGAGCUCUUUCUUGAUUUCGUGGGUGGUGGUGCAUGGGCCGUUCUUAGUUGGUGGAGUGAUUUGUCUGCUUAAUUGCGAUAACGAACGAGACCUUAACCUGCUAAAUAGCCCGUAUUGCUUUGGCAGUACGCCGGCUUCUUAGAGGGACUAUCGG
rnacentral:rRNA from 1 species